rnacentral:hammerhead_ribozyme from 1 species
AUCCAGCUGACGAAUUCCAAAUCGGACGAAAUUCACGUCCUGGAU